UGGUGAGCUGAGCUGAAGGGAGAUUUGUCCUAGACUCUUCCUUGACUGGAGCUUUCUAUGCAGGAGAGGUUUGCUGGCUGAAAUAUAUGAGACUGAGAUGCUGAAUUUCAUUAUUAAAUAGAAAAGAAAACGUCCCUUCUACAUGAGGAGGAACCUUUUGAACAGGCUUCCAAACAAGUAAACCUUCACAAGAUUUUUCUAAACAUUUAGAACGGGCAAGUGCUGUUACAGUCCAGCCAGAGAAGAAAAAGAGAACCAAGGAAGAAAUUUGGCUGAGGGCUGCAUGAAGCCUGAAAGAAAAGAAUAAAAUGCAGCUGGAAACCACCUUCUACUCCCCAGAGGCUAUCAGAGUACUGACAUGUUGUGAAUCCUAUAUCGAUUGAACAAGAAGAUUGAAGCAGGCAAAGAGGAAAGAAAUUUAAUGAAAAAAGAACACACACACACACACAUAUACAUGUACAUACACACAGACACAGACAUACACAGAGACACACACAGACAUAUACCCACAGAUACACACAGGCACACAGACAGACACAUACAUACGUCCUCUAAAACACCCAGAACCUCAAGGAGGGAAACCCUUAAUUAAAGUCCAUAGCAGCCCAAGCCUCUGGCUUAAUGGGAUAUUGAUGUCAAUGAGGAAAUUUAUUAGGAUCCCUUGGUUUAAUUUUGCCCAGGGAGACCUUGGUCCCACACAGUGGAGAGUACAGUGUCCUAGAUAUAAGAGGGGAUAUUAGGUGGUCAGCAAGUAAGCUGGAAUAUCCCCCCCCAAAAAAGAUUUGAUAAGUGCAAAACAAAUCUCCAUUUUUAGCAUCAGAUCUCUCCCCAAUAAGGGAGCUGGGCAUGAGGAAAUCACUAGGAAAGAAUGCUGGAGCAAUAGGUCCUCAUACUGGCAAGGUAAAGGGAGAGUUUCAAGACAUUUCUUAGAUAUCCCUUUGAUGUCUACCACAGGGUGGGGCCAGAGUGCUGAGGAAGGACAGAGUAAGUGGCUCCCAUAUCAGUUAAGAAAAUAAAGUUCUUACUUGACACAUCCAUGACAACCCUAGGUUUGGCCAUACAGAUGGAAAAUAGGGGAGCCUGGCCAUUCCCCCAGCCCUAUCACUCUAAGUCUUGAGAAAAUUGGAGGCCAAGUUGCUGGAAGGCCAGGGGUUGGCCACUCUUAGGGCACUCUCUCCUCUAGUGUCUUUCAUGGCCACAUUCUGGAUAGGGCCCUGAGGCUUCCUCCUCUGAGGAUACUCCCUAGACUAAUGGACCUUCUUGAAUAUUUGAAGGAGGAUCUGACUUCUCAGGAGCCACCCUGGCCCCACUUCUGGAUAAUGAAUAUGACCAAAAUUUGACCUUGUUCUCUGUUCUUUUUUCCCACUAAGGCCUGAUCUCUUUCAUUAAAUACCCUCAACGUGUUCUCUAAACCAAUUUUUGGAGUUUCCUCCUGACAUCUGAAGUAGAAUGACCAAUGAAGUGCAUGCCCAGGAUGGUGACACCUUUAGGGGAUUUGAGAUCUAAGUUAAUAAAUUUCUUUGUUUCAAUUA